GCCCCCUGUGGCCUCCCCUCCCCCCCACCUUCCCCCAGCCGGAGUGCAGGGCAGGGGGAAACCCUCGCUUUGCCUCGGCUGCGUGCGCGCAUGCGCGUGGGGAAGGCGGGCUCGGCCCGGACCCACACAGCAGCCGACGGUAGGGCGGUGGCUGCAGCCGCCCCGGCUUGCCCGGCUGCCUGAGCUGCUCUGGGCACUGCAGACUCACAGUACGUGUCCCUAAGCACAGAACCGGCGCCCGUGGCAGGGACAUGCAGGGAGUGGAUCAUGGCUCUGCCCCAGGCCCUGUCGCUGCCCUGCAAUAGCAGCUGCCCACCCCGUUCCCAGACACCGCUCCCUGCCCGCCUUCAGCCCCAGACCAUCCACUCUGCUGAGUUUGCCCUCCCUGCAGGGGUCCCAGCCUGGCCUCCAGGGCGACGCUGCCCACUCCCUCCACGGGAGAUCAACUGCCCUGCCCCCUGCUGUACUGGGCCAGGUCAGCACCCCGUCCUACCCUGCACCAACUCACCCAAAGUCUAAUAGCCCUCUGGUCCAAGGCUACUGCAAUUAUAUGAAGGGAGCAAAGCCAUUGCAAGCAAACCAGUUGCUCCUACGAAAAUGAAGCCUGUUUAGGGCAACCUGACCUUAUUUUGCCUGAUUUUCAACACGCAAAAUACAGUCAAAAUACUCUGUUCCAACUUCCUUAUAUUGGCAAUUUGUGUAGGAAGAUGCCUGGGAAGAGGAACUGAGAUUUGGGAAGGAGGAUAAUAAAAAGGUCAUUCCUUUUCUCUUUCCCUCCUCCCCCCUCCCCGCCCCAUGCAUUCUGUAUGCCUAGGGCAUCCAUUGGAGCAAAUGUGUGGUACAUGCUUCAUUUUAGCUAUAAAAGCCAGGGGGCUGGGGGGGUUCAUUUUUUAUUUUUUUUUAUAUGUAGUCACAGUUGAAAAUAAAUUGAGUUAAAUGAUAAGGAACAAGCUAACAGUACUUAAUCAGCUGACAAAUUCAACACAAUGGUUUCAAAAUUAAAAAUAAAAUGUAUUUCAUUCACUCCACUGAUAUAAACUUCUGCACGGAAUGUGCCUAAAAGUCUAAAACAGGUAAAAGAAUACUACAUUGCAAGUCCUCAAAAUCCCCAUCUCUUAGUCACCACUUGCACAAUCACAGCUAAUGAUUGUUAUGCAUUGUUAUACAUCCUCUCUGUAGUAAGCAACUGUUAAUCCUCUGGAUUAUGGUAUACGUGUAAAAGGUCUAGUUGGGUGCCUGAUGAAUCUGCUUAUAUGGAAUCCUGCAACCAUCAUACUGAGACCUUCAACUAGAGGUGCACUGAUAUAUCGGUUGCAUAUCGCAGGAGUUGUCAACUGGAGGGCCCCAAGAUACCACGUGUAUGCACACAGCCACAUGCAUGCCUACGGUCGGGAAUGCAGCCAGGCAACAUGGAGAGCAGCACCCUGCAGGGCAAUGACAAACCUGCAGACUACAGUAGUACAGCAACAGCAGCAGGGAUGAAGGAUUGCAGCUACCCAGGCAAAGCAGACUGACAGUUCAGGAGGAAAGAAGAACAUGGGCAAAUUCUGGGGCAGAGGCAAAUAUUUUCUCCUGCCCUUCAACACGAGCACGUGAAUAAAUGUAUAUAAAUAAAGAGUUGCAAACAAAUUAAAACAUUUCA